GAGUUUGAACCUGGCUCAGGAUGAACGCUGGCGGCGUGCCUAAUACAUGCAAGUCGAGCGAACCACUUCGGUGGUGAGCGGCGAACGGGUGAGUAACACGUAGGUGAUCUGCCCAUCAGACGGGGACAACGAUUGGAAACGAUCGCUAAUACCGGAUAGGACGAAAGUUUAAAGGUGCUUCUGGCACCGCUGAUGGAUGAGCCUGCGGCGCAUUAGCUAGUUGGUAGGGUAAAGGCCUACCAAGGCGACGAUGCGUAGCCGACCUGAGAGGGUGAACGGCCACACUGGGACUGAGACACGGCCCAGACUCCUACGGGAGGCAGCAGUAGGGAAUCUUCGGCAAUGGGCGAAAGCCUGACCGAGCAACGCCGCGUGAAUGAUGAAGGCCUUCGGGUUGUAAAAUUCUGUUAUAAGGGAAGAACGACUUUAGUAGGAAAUGGCUAGAGUGUGACGGUACCUUAUGAGAAAGCCACGGCUAACUACGUGCCAGCAGCCGCGGUAAUACGUAGGUGGCGAGCGUUAUCCGGAAUUAUUGGGCGUAAAGAGCGCGCAGGUGGUUGACUAAGUCUGAUGUGAAAGCCCACGGCUUAACCGUGGAGGGUCAUUGGAAACUGGUCGACUUGAGUGCAGAAGA
rnacentral:rRNA from 1 species